rnacentral:rRNA from 1 species
CCUACGGGGGGCAGCAGUGGGGAAUAUUGCACAAUGGGGGAAACCCUGAUGCAGCGACGCCGCGUGAGUGAAGAAGUAUUUCGGUAUGUAAAGCUCUAUCAGCAGGGAAGAAGAAAGACGGUACCUGACUAAAAAGCCCCGGCUAACCACGGGCCAGCAGCCGCGGCAAAACGUAGGGGGCAAGCGUUAUCCGGACUUACGGGGUGGAAAGGGAGCGUAGACGGGUGGGCAAGUCUGGAGGGAAAGCCCAGGGCUCAACCCUGGGACUGCUUUGGAAACUGUGGAGCUAGAGUGCUGGAGAGGUAAGUGGAAUUCCUGGUGUAGCGGUGAAAUGCGUAGAUAUUAGGAGGAACACCAGUGGCGAAGGCGGCUUACUGGACAGUAACUGACGUUGAGGCUCGAAAGCGUGGGGAGCAAACAGGAUUAGAUACCCUAGUAGUC